UAUCUCUGUAGAGUCUGCAUAUCAAUAAGCGGAGGAAAAGAAACUAACAAGGAUUCCCUCAGUAACGGCGAGUGAAGCGGGAAGAGCUCAAAUUUGAAAUCUUCAAGGUUCUACCUUGACGAAUUGUAGUUUAAAGAAGUGUUUUCUGUUAGAUGAGUAGCAAAAGUUCCUUGGAAUGGGACAUCAUAGAGGGUGAGAAUCCCGUAUUUGGUUAUUCAUUCUAGCUUUGUGAUACACUUUCAAAGAGUCGGAUUGUUUGGGAAUGCAGUCCAAAAUGGGUGGUAAAUUUCAUCUAAAGCUAAAUAUUGGCGAGAGACCGAUAGCGAACAAGUACCGUGAGGGAAAGAUGAAAAGAACUUUGAAAAGAGAGUUAAACAGUACGUGAAAUUGUCAAAAGGGAAGCGUUUGACACCAGUGUUGUUUUCUCGAAAAUCAAUUAAAAAAGGCAGGAUUUUGUGUUGUAUUGACUUUAUCAGCUUUCUGCACUCUUUUCUUGUCUUUUUUUAAUGCACUUUUCGUUUAACAAGUCAACAUCAAUUUCUUUUGUUGUAAAAGAGUCAUUGGAAGGUGGCUUUCACUUCGGUGAAAGUGUUUAUAGCCUUUGGCUUCUGCAAUCGGAGAGAUUGAGGUCUGCAGCGUAGAUCCUUCGGGGCUAGAUACGUAGAUGCUAAGUUAUAGUUUUUUAUAGACAACUUGUUGACUAUAAUUAAUCAUGUAGCUUACUCGUUUGCGCUAUUUUACCUACGCUUAGGAUGUUGAAGAUGUAGCACAUCAU
rnacentral:rRNA from 1 species